rnacentral:tRNA from 1 species
UCCUGCGACAUGGGUUUAAGUCCUGUUUCUAUCA